UGGCCCAGUUGGUAGAGCAUGGUGUUUGUAACGCCAGGGUUGUGGGUUCGAUUCCCAC
rnacentral:tRNA from 1 species